rnacentral:rRNA from 1 species
GGAUUCCUCGUACGGCGAGGAAGCGGCACAGCUCAAAUUUGAAUCUGGCCUCGCGCCCGAGUGUAUUUGUAGAGGAUGUUUCGGGUGCAUCUCCGGUUCUAAGUCCCUGGAACAGGGCGUCAUAGAGGGUGAGAAUCCCGUACGUGACCGGUUGAUAAUCCCAUGUGAAGCUCCUUCGAAGAGUCGAGUUGUUUGGGAAUGCAGCUCAAAAUGGGUGGUAAAUUUCAUCUAAAGCUAAAUAUUGGCCAGAGACCGAUAGCGCACAAGUAGAGUGAUCGAAAGAUGAAAAGCACUUUGGAAAGAGAGUUAAAAAGUACGUGAAAUUGUUGAAAGGGAAGCGCUUGCAACCAGACUCGCCCGGGGGUGAUCAGCCGUCCUUUUGGGCGGUGCACUUUCCCCCGGUCGGGCCAGCAUCGAUUCGGGCGGUAGGACAAAGGUUCCGGGAACGUGGCUCGCUUCGGCGAGUGUUAUAGCCCGGAGCGUAAUGCUACCAGCCUGGAUCGAGGACCGCGCUUCGGCUAGGAUGCUGGCGUAAUGGUUGUCAGCGACCCGUCUUGAAACACGGACCAAGGAGUCGACCAACUCUGCGAGUGUUUGGGUGUUAAACCCGUGCGCGUAAUGAAAGUGAACGGAGGUGAGAUCCCGCAAGGGCGCAUCAUCGACCGAUCCUGAUGUCUUCGGAUGGAUUUGAGUAAGAGCAUAGCUGGUCGGACCCGAAAGAUGGUGAACUAUGCGUGAAUAGGGUGAAGCCAGAGGAAACUCUGGUGGAGGCUCGCAGCGGUUCUGACGUGCAAAUCGAUCGUCAAAUUUGCGUAUAGGUAUGUUUGAAGAAUCGACCGCCUCGGAAGUCUGGGCCGAUGUUUUCUUCUUUCCCCUCCCUCAUGACAUUGGAAUCAUUUACUAAUUUGUGAAUAA